GUAAUUGAUGUCCAGGAUAGGUAAUCCUGAAAAGUGAAUGCAAGCCACUGAGCAAAGGGGUGCUGAAUGAAGACCUGCCAUAGCUGUGCCCCAACAAGCAGGCUUCUACCCCCACCUCCAUCACACUGCAUUAUUGUCUUCUUUGAUGAGGUUAUUGAAUGUGUGACUCCACCCACCACUGUCUCAGAUCCAAGUCUCUCCUGCAAGGUUAAUCUCAUCCAACAAGUUAUAAAUCUUUCUUCAAGAGACAUGCUCUUCCUCUGGCAAACAGGUUCCUCUUUUUCUUCUCACAGUUGAAAAUUUUCAAUUCCUUAGAGCCCACUGUUUUAAUAGUUGGAAAGCCAAAGAGGGGUGCAAAUAUUUCUUCAGAUGUCUCUUCAGAAUAUAUCCAUUCUUCCUAGGUAGGCCAGUUACAGGAGAUGAGAGCAAGUCAGGCUUCAGAGGAAGUUCUUACCAGGAUGAGAUCUGAAAGAUGAAAUUACCUGCUUGUCGGGGGAGGGGAUAAGGAUGGGGCUGUAAUCUGUGGAGAGGUCAGCAGAACUGCAUAUAUAUGUAUACACACACACACACACACACACACACACACACCUGGAUUUUUGAUGUAGCUGGUGUUCCCUGUUUCUGUAUGUACAGAUGAGACAAAAGAUGAGUGUAAAGUAAUUAGACUGUAGAGGCAGGCAGGGGCCAGACCAUGAAGGGCAUUCUAAGAGUUGUCAGGCAUCUGACCUUAAUCUUGACACUGGAAAGGCAUCUAUAGGUUAAAGUAGUGAAAUAAAAUGGUCAGACUAGAGAGCCACGUGUUCUUUGUGUUUGGCAUAGAGAUUGAGUUUAGAUGUAGUGAGGACAGCCUGUCUGAGCAGAUCUCAGGGAGCCCCCUUCCCAAAUGCAUCCUUUGAUUUUACUCUCGACGUUUGUCCACCUUGUGGCAUUUACCUGCUUAGUAUGAGAACUUGUCCCAAACCUUAGCUCCCCUUGUCCAGUUUCCUCUUGUGGCAACUAGAACUCUUCGUGGUCAAGCUACGAGCUUGUUCUAAAAUGAAGAUGCUGCCGAGGGUACCCACUGGUUUCUCAGUUAACCACUCUGAAGAACCCCCUUGUCCUGCCGUCCGUCUUAGAGCCGCUAGAAUUUUGGUGCCAAUCUUGAGUUCAAUAAUCUCUUUGGACUUUGACAUCCAGUAUAAUUUGCACAGUUGGCUCCUCCUGCCUAGGCCUGAACCUGGGUGAAUUUCCUAGUCCCCCUUUUCCUGCUGCAUUUAAAAAAAUAUUCCAGAUACUUUACUGUCCAUCUGUAUUACAUGUCCACAUAGACAAGAAACUUGAGAAGAUGAAGUGAAGUGAGAUGAGUUUAACUUGCUUUUAGAUUUUAGGCAGGUUACUUAACUUACCUCUCUCUGCCCCAGCAUCCUCAUCUAUAAACUGUAGAUACCGACAGCGUUGUGAGUAUGUGAGUCUAUGGUAGACAUUCACCAUUCAUUGUUUCAUUAAGAUGUCCAGACAUUAUCCUAGAGCAGCUGCAGGAGGACACAGAAGAAAGCCCAAAGACUGGUUACAGUCAAAUGAAUAUUCACCUUGAAAGUUCUGCUCCUUCAAUUCUCUCUGAAUAAUUGGGAGGUGCUAGUAGUCUUGAACCUUGCCCAGCUGGAGGGUCAUUACCAUAAGUAGAUAUUGGAAAGUAAUAAAAACAUAACUGACACACAGUGAGGGCUUACUGUAGGCCAAUUCAUAUUCAAAAUUAUUUGGACUAAUUCAUUUGGUCCUCACGACAGUGCUUUGAGAUGGUAAUGUGACAACUUCUGUUCUGUAUAUGAAGCAACUAAGGUACAGAAGGCCUAAGUAACUUGGCUAAGAACACCUUACCUGGUAGAGUUUGUCUGUGGCCCAAAGUCAGACUCUAGAUGGAAAUACAGGUGAGUCCCCCAUCUGGAAAAGGAAGGUCUUUACUGCCUUCCCCAGGUGUAACCUUGAGAAGGGACUUUGAAUCUCUUUAUCAAUCAGCUCUAUUACAGUCCACAGAUUUAAGGGCCUUUUCCAGUUCAAUUUCAAUAGAAUAAAGAUCUUGACAGCAUAUAAAUUUUCCUAGUGAAAACUAGAGCUAUAUAAUCUAUAGCCAUAUCCCUUUUCACAGACUAAGGUUAUGAAUCUAUGAGCUGAAUUGUACAGUCUCUCUAUAAAAUCCCCCAAUUUCUGACAAUUUGGUCAUAAAAUCUUUUGAUAAAAAUAUCAAAAACCCUUUUAUCACAAUACUAUAAAAUGUGACUAUUAAUGGC
rnacentral:lncRNA from 1 species